GCUUGCACUCUGUGAAACAAGAUACAGGCUAGCGGCGGACGGGUGAGUAACACGUGGGUAACCUGCCCAAGAGAUCGGGAUAACACCUGGAAACAGAUGCUAAUACCGGAUAACAACAGAUGAUGCCUAUCAACUGUUUAAAAGAUGGUUCUGCUAUCACUCUUGGGAUGGACCUGCGGUGCAUUAGCUAGUUGGGUAGGGGUAACGGGCCUACCAAGGCGAUGAUGCAUAGCCGAGUUGAGAGACUGAUCGGCCACAUUGGGACUGAGACACGGCCCAAACUCCUACGGGAGGCAGCAGUAGGGGAAUCUUCCACAAUGGACGCAAGUCUGAUGGAGCAAACGCCGCGUGAGUGAAGAAGGGUUUCGGCUCGUAAAGCUCUGUUGUUGGUGAAGAAGGACAGGGGGUAGUAACUGACCUUUGUUUGACGGUAAUCAAUUAGAAAAGUCACGGGCUAACUACGUGCCCAGCAGCCGCGGGUAAA
rnacentral:rRNA from 1 species